AUUGAACGCUGGCGGCAGGCCUAACACAUGCAAGUCGAGCGGAUGAAGGGAACUUUCUCCUGGAUUCAGCGUCGGACACGUGAGUAAUGCCUAGGAAUGUUCCUGGCUGUAGUUGGUAACGUGCGGGAACGGGCGCUACUACCGCAUGCGUCCUGAGUGGGAAAGAUGGGGUUCUUCGGAGCUCACGCUGUCAGAUGAGCGUACGUCGGAUUAGCUAGUUGUUGGGGUAAAGGCCUACAACGGGGAAGAUCCGUACCUGGUCUGCGAGGAUGAGCAGGCAGACUGGAACUGAGAGACGGUCUAGACUCCUGAGGGAGGCAGGAGUGGGGAAGAUUGGAGAAGGGGGGAAUACCUGAUACAGCCAUGCCGCGUGUGGGAAGAAGGUCUUCGGAGUGUUAAGCACUUUAAGUUGGGAGGAAGGUCAGUAAGUUAAUACCUUGCUGUUUUGACGGUACCAACAGAAUAAGCACCGGCUAACUUCGUG
rnacentral:rRNA from 1 species